CAGGGCUUGGGAUCUGGGAUGGUUCCUCAGCACUGAGCAAGUGGGGUUUUUAUCCCUGUCGUGGGAGAUGGCCGGGUGAGCUGUGCCCCUGGAGUAAAUCCCUUUGGCAGCAGGUGCCAGCUGUUGGGAGAAGGCCAUGGAGGAGCCUGGAGGGCUCCAGUGAUUCCAGUCAUGCACACGUGGUGCUGCUGCAGGAUGGAAACCCCCUCAGAGAUCAGCCCUUGGGCAGGGCAGCUAUUCCUGUGCUCAGUGUCCAUCCAGGAGGGCUGUACCUGGAUCCCAUUCCUAUCCCAUUCCUGUGCUCCCUGUCCAUCCCUAAGGGUUGUACCUGGAUCCUAUUCCUGUGCUCCCUGCCCAUUCACAGGGGCUGUUCACAGAUCCCAUUCCUGUGCUCCUUGUCCAUCCAUAGGGGCUGUUCCUGGAUCCCAUUCCUGUGCUCCCUGCCCAUCCCUAAGGGUUGUACCUGGAUCCUAUUCCUGUGCUCCCUGCCCAUCUGGCUGCACCCAGAGCCACAGAAUCCAGGAAUCCCCUGGCAGGGGGUUGGAAUGAGAUGAUUUUUAAGGCCCUCCCAACCCAAACCGUCCUGUGAUUCUGUGGAAGUCUUUGUUUGGUUGGUUUGUUCUGUUGGGUUCUUUUUUUUUAAUUAUUUUUUUUUUUUUUGUUUAAUCCAUCAAAGGAUACAAAUUGUAUCCAGCUCGUACAAGAAUUCCUUUGUGCGGGAUCCUGUUCUGCAAACCUGCCCUUCAGUCCUGACGAGGUUUGAGGCAAAGGCUCGGGAACAAAAGCUCCCUCAGAGGGGGAGUGGUGGAGCAGAGCAAACCCCGGGCAGGGAGAGCAGCAGCAACGAAAAACCCGGAGAGAAGAAAAGCCAGGGAAGCUGAAAAAAAACCCCAGGAAAGCUGAAGAAAAUCCCAGGAAAGCUGAAAACCCCAGGAAAGCUGAAAAAAACCCAGGAAAGUUGAAAACCCCAGGGCACAACUCAGAGAAGUCAGAGCUGGUUCAGGAAAUGUGAUGACUUUGGAAUCCCAGAAUGGUUUGGGUGGGAAGGGACCUUGAAGCUCAUCCCAUCCCACCCCCUGCCACGGGCAGGGCCACCUCCCACUAGCCCAGGUUCCCCAACCUGGCUGGACCACCAGGGCUG
rnacentral:lncRNA from 1 species